AUUGAACGCUGGCGGCAUGCCUUACACAUGCUAGUCGAACGGCAGCACGGGAGCAAUCCUGGUGGCGAGUGGCGAACGGGUGAGUAAUAUAUCGGAACGUGCCCAGUCGUGGGGGAUGACGCAGCGAAAGCUGUGCUAAUACCGCAUACGAUCUCUGGAUGAAAGCGGGGGACCGUAAGGCCUCGCGCGAUUGGAUCGGCCGAUAUCAGAUUAGCUAAUUGGGGGGGUAAAGGCCCACCAAGGCGACGAUCUGUAGCUGGUCUGAGAGGACGACCAGCCACACUGGAACUGAGACACGGUCCAGACUCCUACGGGAGGCAGCAGUGGGGAAUUUUGGACAAUGGGCGCAAGCCUGAUCCAGCAAUGCCGCGUGCAGGAUGAAGGCCUUCGGGUUGUAAACUGCUUUUGUACGAAACGAAACGGCGAGCUCUAAUAAAGUUUGCUAAUGACGGUACCGUAAGAAUAAGCACCGGCUAACUACGUGCCAGCCGCCGCCGUAA
rnacentral:rRNA from 1 species